AGCCAUUAGAUGAUAUUAUAUGGUUUUACCUGCCCAAUGUUAUAUAUGAAUGGCCGCGGUACUCUGACCGUGCUAAGGUAGCGUAAUCAGUUGACCUUUAAAUGAGGUCAGGAAUGAAUGGAAUAACCGGGUUUAGCUGUCUCUAAAAUAUUAUUUUGAAUUUACUAUCUAAGUGAAAAAGCUUAGGGUUAAAAAAGGGAGGAGAAGACCCUUAGAAUUUUUUUUAAAAGGAAUUAAGUUUUCCUUACAGUUUUAUUGGGGCGAUAAAGAAAUAAUUAAAACUUUCUUUUUUUACAUGCCGACUAUGUUAAGUGAGAAUAAAUUACCUGAGGGAUAACAGCAUAAUUUUAUAAAUGAGUUUGUGACCUCGAUGUUGGACUAGGAAACCGGCAGGCUAGCCGUUUGUCGUGUUAGGUU
rnacentral:rRNA from 1 species